rnacentral:ncRNA from 1 species
GCCCAAAGGUUCCCUCAGCACGGCCGGAAAUCGUGCGUAGAGUGUAAAGGCACAAGGGAGCCUGACUGUGAGAGGGACAUCUCGAGCAGGGACGAAAGUCGGGCUUAGUGAUCCGGUGGUUCUGUGUGGAAGGGCCAUCGCUCAAC